GAACGACCAUCGAAAUUUGGCCUGAGAGAACACCAAUAGGUAGCAUGAAGAAGGACCUUCGAAAUUUGGCUCCAGAGAACACCAAUAGGUAGCAUGAAGAAGGACCUUCGAAAU